UACGUAGGGAGCAAGCGUUGUCCGGAAUUAUUGGGCGUAAAGCGCGUGUAGGCGGUUCGAUAAGUCUGCUGUGAAAGUCAGGGGCUCAACCCUUGAAUGCCGGUGGAUACUGUUGGACUAGAGUACGGAAGAGGCGAAUGGAAUUCCUGGUGUAGCGGUGAAAUGCGCAGAUAUCAGGAGGAACACCAAUUGCGAAGGCAGUUCGCUGGGACGUUACUGACGCUGAGACGCGAAAGCGUGGGGAGCAAACAGG
rnacentral:rRNA from 1 species